rnacentral:rRNA from 1 species
GAUGAACGCUGGCGGUAUGCUUAACACAUGCAAGUCGAACGGACUCUUCGGAGUUAGUGGCGGACGGGUGAGUAACGCGUGAGAAUCUGGCUUUGGGUUCGGGACAACCACUGGAAACGGUGGCUAAUACCGGAUGUGCCGAGAGGUAAAAGAGAAAUGGGCUGAAGAUGAGCUCGCGUCUGAUUAGCUAGUUGGUGAGGUAAAGGCUCACCAAGGCAGCGAUCAGUAGCUGGUCUGAGAGGAUGACCAGCCACACUGGGACUGAGACACGGCCCAGACUCCUACGGGAGGCAGCAGUGGGGAAUUUUCCGCAAUGGGCGAAAGCCUGACGGAGCAAUACCGCGUGAGGGAAGAAGGCUCUUGGGUUGUAAACCUCUUUUCUUAGGGAAGAACAAAAUGACGGUACCUAAGGAAUCAGCAUCGGCUAACUCCGUG